AAAACUCUGAAGACUGCUAGCUAUUGGAUUGCUUGCUUAGAUAUUAUGGCUAUCUUUAUUUGAUGCCUUGAUCUUCACAUAAUGCUUGGAUAUUAUUCAUUUCUUAUUGCUUAUUGCUUGUCAAAGUCCAAAGGAAAAUGGGUUUCUAUAUGACAUUCUUGUCUAUUGGAUUGCAUCCCAUUGGUCAGAUAUUUUCAACUCUUAACUUUUAAUUUUUUUGCUUAGGG
rnacentral:lncRNA from 1 species